rnacentral:rRNA from 1 species
GCCAAACAGCUAGCUCAAACCACAAGAGCCUAAGUUAAUAAUAUACAUAGCUCUACAUAAACUAGAUUUAAUUAAACUAAACCAUUCGACCACCCCAGUAUGGGCGACAAAAAAGGAUAAACGAAGC